AUCGGGUGAACCUUCAGCAGAUGC
rnacentral:siRNA from 1 species